CACCCGGCACACACGAUGGCUGCAGCAGCUGGAGCACUCUCUAGGUCAUUAUGGCUCUCUUCACUACGGGAAGAGGAGGAGGGGACGAGAGGAGCAGCAGCUCAGAUAGGAAACUAAUCUGACAGGUAAUAUAUGCUCUUGCUUCGCUUUCGGACGGAGUUUACCCCCUGACGGGCCUUGACGUCUCCUGUCCUGUCUCUUCCCUCUCUCUUCUUUGGAUGCGAUCAGUUAUUAACCGCAUGGUUUGCCUGUGAGUCGCGCAGUCGAAAGGGGGAGUGGAAUGCACUGUUCUGCAGCAGCAGCGGCACUGGGACAGAACUUAACCAGAGACCACCUUUGGGCUUUUUUUCCCCUCUUCUCUUGCUCCUCUUUUCUCAAAAGAGGGAAAAGAAGAAAAAAAAAAUAGAAAAAAAAGUACGAAGAGGAGGAGGAUGCAGGAGAAGGGGAAGCAGGGAAAAGGGAGGCUGGGGAGUUGCUAUGGUCCAUAUGGAUUUUUGCCCUGUUUUAUUGCACUCUUCAGUCUAUCUUUCUCAUCUUUCUCCCUCCCUCCCUCCCUCCUUCGUCUUGCACGCUCUCUCUCUCACUCUCUUGUGUUCCUGGCACUGGCCGGACAUGCUGCAGCAGCAGAGCUCUUUGGCUCAUUAGGCUUCAUGGUUGCAGCCCUGCCGCUAUCUAAUGACAGACUCGCUAACUGAGACCUGCACUGGUGUGGAGAGACAUUCCCUUAUGCACAAUUCGCCCUCUGUGUCCGACACCUUCCAAGAUGUUUUUGUACCAUCUCUAAGGAUACUAUAAUUACUGGGACUUGUUAUUAUUUUUUUUUCUUUUUGGUGGUUUGGAGGGGCGGGGGAGGUCACUGCCAUUUUUAAUUGAUGGGAGGUAAGUUUGAGUCACAUUUUGAAGCCCAAGGUUGGCUGAUUGGGGCGGAAGGAUGGAAUGUGGUGUCCCGAGGGAUGACGAAGCAUCAAAACAAUGGACAUCGGGCAGGUCGGGAGUGUUGAAUGGGGGGAAAUAUUGGAUUGACGGCAUACAGCUGUGAGAAGUGUACACAGAUGUGAGGGUGAGGAAGGUGAAGAUGGGCGGGAGGGGCUAUUGGGCAGCAUUGGUUGGCUGAGUAGAUGUGUGUCACCAGCCGAACCCACAGCACUUAGGGUAGUAACCCAAUUUCUUCUCUCUCUCUGUAACGGAUUACUAUAGCUAGGCAGGGCAAGCAGGGCCCAGAGUACUGCAGUGCUAUCGCCCAAACCAGAACAGACAUGACAACCACUGGGUCAAUUCGCUGGUUCACGUUCCCCAACCUUCAUUCCACUGUGUGUAGAAAGAAUUUCACCCCCCCUCUCCUAUUUGCUCACCCUCUCGGGUGGCUGUGACAUUUCCUAAACAGGACGUCACACCUUUAGGACCAGGAUCAUCCACCAACUGUCACCUCCAGUUCAACCUCCCCUCAUUGCUAUUCCAAACCGUUCCACUGCAAAAAAUAUUGCACCAAUUUUACCAUUUAUUCUGUUUUCUGCAAUCAAGUCUCCAAACUAAACCCUGAGCUACUCUUCCCAAAUUAAUUUUUCGUUUUACACCCAUAGCCUCAGCACCCAGUCUGCUGGCUAGCUAAGCAAGGCUGGAGGCAGGGUUGACUUGUGGAAUGUGUUGUUCGGGGGCAAAGUUUCAUUAGAGACUUGCUGAACAAUUCUCGCCACCAUGCAAAUGGUUAUUGAUCUUUUCCACCCACUCUGCAACAGAACAGCAGGUUUCUCUGUUGACACAGACAGGUGAGGUUGGAUCAGAGGAAAAAGGAAGUGAGAAAAGAUGACCAUAAACACAGUGAUGUGUUUAUGUGUGGGAAGAGAGAGAAAACAAGGUACAGAAAUUGAGAGAGGGGGAGGUUGGGGGUAAUAGCUAGGACCAAUCCACAAGUGCUGAGUGGGCAUUAGCGCCUUCAUGUGACCUAUGGCCUGCCUCUGCGCCUAAAGCCCAAAUCCUGCUCACAAUAGCUUCCUGUUCCACUUGGAUCACCGUCGUUUUCAAACAUCAGCAAGCGCUCCAGCUAGCCACUGGGGACGUUGCUGACACAAGAGAGACAAGGGACAGGCAAGAGCUACAUAUUAGUAAAAGUAGAGGUAGGAAAGAAGAGAGGAUAUAGAAAAAGGGGGUGAAAUAGGAGAAUGAGAUGGUGGUGAGGGAGGCAGACUAAAAGAGAAGUGGGAGGAGAGAAGUGAAAGUGUUUAGUGUGUCAGCGGGGCCAAUCAGCUUAUAGGUGCACCCCUGCUUGCAAGACACACGGUCCAAAGCAGAUGAUCAUCAUACAAGACAAGGUGCACACAGAGGCACCUUACACCAUGGACUUUCUACAAGGAGAAAACUCUUCCUGUCAUUUUUGUCCAACCCCUUAAUCUACCUCCACAUUUUUCAUGGAAAAAGAAAAACGCCACCUUCUAAAUGCAGUAAAAAGAAAAGGGGAGCUGUAUUCCUCCCCCUGGUUUCUCCCAGUUGUCUGGAGGACAGCCGGGGUCACCAGGACAGUCGACUAUGGUAUGGACUGCAAACCUUCUGUUAUGUUCAGGGGAGGGGGAACGGGCUGUUCAGCCCUACAUGGCAACCAAAGGAAAGCCUUGAGUGUUGAACUGAAUUUACUCUCAAAGUCACCUUACAGUGCAGACUACCAUACUUGGGGGAGAGAGAACGGUGAGGAAAAAUGUUCUGCUCAUAACUUCCUGACCUUGGCAAAAGAAUGGGUGAAGGUGAACAGACAAGAAAAAGCAGGAGAGCGAAUGAGCAUUGUCCAUUUCAACUAGUGGGUGAGCAUGGUGUGCAAACCCACAUCCAUGUUUGAAUAAGAUGUUUAAAUGCAACAUGGUCUUUCUCUGCUCAGUGUUUCCCUGGCUCUUUUCAGAUAAAACUCACUUCAUAGCAGUUCCCAGUCCAUCCGGAAACAAUGAUUCCACAAUGCUUUGCUAAAGCUGGUAAAAUGGAACCAAAUCACCUCUUGAAUGGAUUUGGUCCCCUUCAACCAGCUGUAGCUAUGCUUUGAUGACUACAAGAGCUCCUUUAGCUGUGAUGCCUUCAACAAUCACUGUAAUGGCAGUGGGCCACUUCUUGAUGGAUGACUGGCUUAUGGCUUUUCUCUACCAACAACAUCUGGAGUGUAACUGUCAUGUUCCUGUCAUGUCUUAUUUUUGACUAAUAAAGAAAUCAAUCCCAGCUUCAAAACUUUGGUAUGGUCCACUUUCAUGACUGAGUGUUACCUCUCUGCUCCCAACGGGUUUGAUAUUCUGACCACACUGUCAAUGGCUGUUUCAAAAAUAGCAGGGGGUGGAUGUGCUGUGUGAGCUAUUUUGACACAGCACUCGCAUGUCUGUACGGCUGUCUUGCUAAGACACCUCCUAAACUGAUUGUGACUGGAUGCUAACACUCAAUUACACUGUGGGUGGGAAUAGGCAAAAGCAGAUAGCCAAUGCAGCUCAGCAGGGGUACAAUGGCAGUGUAAAGUGAUCUAAAGUAGAAAUAAGACAAUAAGACUGCAAGAAAUAAAAAAUAAAUUAUUGUUUAGAGACUACACAAUACACACAUUCAAACAUGUUGGCCUCCUUCCCCUGAAACCUCCUGCAGUUCGGUUGGACAAGCUGGGUUAGAUGAUAGCCAGAUGCUCUAGACUAGAGGACAGGAGCUGAACGCACAAAUCACAGGAGCAGACCGCUCGCAAGCAGUUACAGUCUCACACAUUUACUCACUGUUACUGCAGAACAGGCAGAUCAAAACCAACUACCUUCACACUGUCUCCUGACAGUCCUCAUUUUCUUGCUUCUCUUAUUUCUUUUGCCUUUUUAAUUUAGUGCUUAACACUAUGUCAAACUGACCUUUUCUCAAACUCAGAAAAUAUACAACAAAACCACAAAAAAAUAUUGAAUAUUUGUCCAGAAAUUGAUGUAAAAGCUGCAAUUUAUCUAAUUUGUCACAUUAUCGAUUUGAGGAUGCUGGUAGAGUAUAUACAAAUGUAAUUUAUAUAAAUGUAUUAAAUCCAUUGUGAAUAGUACUGCAUUUUCCAAGUCUUUGAAUUUGAAGUGUUUUACAUUGGACAAAUAACCAUGAAAUCUCUUUGGGUAAUGUAAGAGGCGCUAGCUUACUCAAUUACAGUAGUCUGACUUGAUUAGCCUAGUCUGAAAUGAGCAAGAGAGGGUGGAAACAUUCCUAAUUCAAUCAAUGGUAGCCAUGAAGAACGUGAAAAAAGCUGCAAGUAGAUUGGUCUUUAUAGGUCCACAACACUUUUUUCUAUCAAAUUGUGAUCUCUGUUACAAUACUACCAUUAUGCUGUUGCCUAUUAGUACUUAGUAUUAGUCAUUAUAUUGGGAAUACAGCAUUUUGGAACACGGUGUGAAUGAUUGCAGAGUCCUCGAUUACCAUAUGGGGUUUGCCUGUAUGUUGGCAUAUUAAAAGAAAUCUGAACACUAUAUGAGAGAGGGAGGAGGACAAAUAUCACAAGGAGGUGACACGUAAAAGGGUACAGAUCGCCGCUGCAGGGCUUGUUUAGAGCCAGUUUAUGAGUCAUGGGCUAUUAAUCGUAUUGUUUACAGUAUUGUAGCAGCUACUGGCUUCUAGCAGCCCGAGAGAAAGAAGAGCCAAGCUCCCCUUGCAGGCUCGGCCGGCGGUAAACACACACAGGGAGAAAACACAAUGUGGAUGUCCGAGAAAAUCCUUUCCUCAACACGUUACUAGUGGUUAUAACAGCACUUUCAAUUUAGUAGAAUU